rnacentral:lncRNA from 1 species
UGGUUUAGGUUUAUAGUCUUAUUUUUUGGUUUAAGGUAUAUAAUUUGGGUUUACGGUCUAGGAUUAGAGUUUAGGGUAUAUGAUUUAGGUUUAGAGGUUUGGAUUUGGGUUUAGGAUUUAGAAUUUAGGGUUUCGCUAGCGGCGUUAACGUCGUUAAAAUCAGCAUAUUUAUUUUUUUAACUAUUUUUUAUUUAAUUUAAUGUUUUUUAGUUAAUAAUCUAUCUGACACUUUAAUUGGUCACUAAGAAUGAUGUGGAUCUAAAGGUUCACCUAAGUUUUGUUCUAUUUCUUACGAAACCUUUUGUGCCGAAUGAUGUAGUGGAGAUUUAUGAACUACUUUUUUCCUUAAGCCAUUAUGCUAGAUGUUGACAAAAUAUUUUGAAGUGUCAACGAAGAUUGUUUAUACAAAG